AAAAUCCAAGAAAACCAAGAUCUAAACAUCACUCUUCCACAAACUUUCAUUCUAACACUCACACAAUGAAAACCAACAACACACUCAUGCUUCCAUUCAUCAUCUUCAUCAUGAAACUCAUUAAAUCAUAACACCUCAUUCUCAUAUUUUAUUAUUCUUCAUUCUCACAACCUUCAUAAACAUAACCUCUUCUAAUGGUAAAAAAAUCCUCUCCAUUCAAACCAAAGAUAAACAUGAAGACAUCAUAAUUUCUACACUCUUAAUAUUUUCUUCUACACUCCCUCCACCAUGAAUAACUCAAGAAUAUUUCUAAUAGAUCUAACCUCCAUACUAGAAAAAACCUUUCAAUCACCUUGUUAUAACUCAACACCAUUGGCCACCAAACUCUACACUUU
rnacentral:lncRNA from 1 species